rnacentral:tRNA from 3 species
GCUCCCGUAUGCUAAUUGGAAGCGCAGCUAGAUUCAAAAUCUGGUGGUUGAAAGUUCGAGUCUUUCCGGGAGUA